GAAAGUGGUGAAAAUUCUAAAAAGGCUAUCAUUAUCCCUUAUGGGCCAGGAAAUACUACCGUGCCACCUUAAGGGGGAUAUAUAUUUUUACACUAAAUCAAUAAAGGAAUUUAUUUUACCUAUGCAAUUUGUAAGUUUAUCAAUGAAAAGUUGAUUAAGGGCAACUAUGAUAAAAACAAGCCUUAAAUUCCACCCCUGAGAGUAAAAAUUGCUGAUUCAGCAAAUUUUGCCUGAU
rnacentral:lncRNA from 1 species